GGAGGUAGUGACAAUAAAUCACAAUGCGGGACUAGUAGUCUUGCAAUUGGAUUGAGAACAAUGUACAACUCUUAUCGAUAAGCCAUUGGAGGGCAAGUCUGGUGCCAGCAGCCGCGGUAAUUCCAGCUCCAAUAGCGUAUAUUAACGUUGUUGCAGUUAAAAAGCUCGUAGUUGAAGUGUGGGUGAUCGCUGUUGUGAGACUUCGGUCUCUCGACAGUAAGUCACCCCCUUCCAGUAUCCAGUAGUGGGUAUUCAGUUACUUACUAUUGUGUGUUGGUCGUUUACUGUGAGAAAAUUAGAGUGUUCAAAGCAGGCGUUUGCUUGAAUAGAUUAGCAUGGAAUAAUAAUUGAAGGCUUUCGUGUUCGAUUUGAUUGGUUUGUUCAUGGAAGCAAGGUUAAAAGGAACAGUUGGGGGUAUUCAUAUUCACUAGUUAGAGGUGAAAUUCUCGGAUUUAUGGAAGAUGAACAAGUGCGAAAGCA
rnacentral:rRNA from 1 species